rnacentral:lncRNA from 1 species
GUGGUGUAGGCCGGCAGCAACAGCUCCGAUUAGAUCCCUAGCCUGGGAACCUCCAUAUGCCGCAGGAGUGGCCCCAGAAAAGACGAAAAGACAAAAAAAAAAAAGAAAAAGAAAAAAAGAAUGCAGAAAAUGAGAAGAGACCGUUGCUGUCAGUAACCCAAACAAGAUGCAGAAGCCACAGCAUUAGAGUCUUUCUAAACCAGUCGGAGAGCUGAAGAUGCAGCUACAAAAGAAGGAGAGAAUUGGUAAGUUAGCCAAAGACACCCUGGAUUUUCAGCUGCCAAGGGCUGGGCAUGUGCAUGAGGCCUGAGGGUAUCUCCCCAGACACUUCAGGUUUUGCACAGACAAUAGCUGCAGGUGGACAGGAGCGCUAGGAGGAGUCCCUCCAAGGUGUUCUGGGCAGAGCAAGAUCUUCACAUGUGUCUAAAAGCCUGCGGCUGGGCUGGAGAGUAAAGAGGACUCAUCAACAAUGUGCAAAGCUGUCGGUCAGGUUGUCAAUCAGAGAGAGGAAGGUCUCAUGGUGGUGCAGCGGUAACAAACCCAACAAGGAUCCAUGAGGCCACUGGUUCAAUCCCUGGCGUUGCUUAUGGGUUAAGGAUCUGGUGUUGCCAUGAGCUGUGCUGUAGGUGGCAGACACGUCUCGGAUCCCGCAUUGCCGUGGCUGUGGCGUAGGUCGGCAGCUGCAUCUCUGAUUUGACCCCAGCCUGGGAACCUCCAGAUGCCACGGGUGUGACCCUAAAAAGACAAUUAAUUAAUUAAUUACUCAGUGAGAUCUAUCAUGUUGUGGAGAACUGAUGGAAAACAUGAAUAGAUUUGGGGAAUCUUGCUAGAGUGAGCACUAAAGCACUGUAGGACAGAAGAUCCUGAGCCCACCCUAAAAUAUGUGCAGCAAGUAGGGAACUGAAAUAAACAAAAUCAGCAAAAAGCUCAGACCCAGCUUAACUAUAGAAAAACGUACUCAGGCACUCCAAACCAAUGUCCAGACACAAAAAAAGAGAGCCCUUCUAAAGGGAAAUAUUAGUUACCUCAGUCUCUACUGUUUUGACAUCUCAUGAUGAAGAAAGAAGACAGUUAAUAGAACUAGACCCAUGGGUGGCUCAGAUGUUGGAAUUAUUUGACAUGAGCUUUAGAGUAACUAGAAAUAUGCUAAAUGGUCUAUUAGAAAAGGUAAACAAUAUGGAAGAGAUGGUGAAUUUCAGCAGACACAAAGAAAUGGCAAACAAUGAAUCAAGUGGAAAUUCCAGAAAUGAGAACUGCAAUAUCAGAAAUAAAUAUUUCAUCAGGUUUUAUAACAGAAUGACUCAGCAGAGCAGACACUGAGUAAACUUGAGGACAAGUGAAUUCAGAAAAAAAAAGUCAAUCCCCCCCAAAAAAACUGAGAAUAUAUAAGAGUGUCUAAAUAUAUGGGACAACAUCAGAUGGUCCAACACACCUGAAGGAGAAAGGAGAAGAGUAAAUGCUUAAGAGAUAUUUGCUGAGAAUGGUUUAAAAUCGAUGAAAGACAUCAACCCACAAAUCCAAAGAGCUCAGAAAACAGCAAUGAGAAAAAAUACAAAGGACACUCCCACACACACCAUGUGUAUGCAUACAAAUGUCAACCCAGAAUGCCGUAUCCUACAAAUGUAGCCUUAAAAAUAAAGGUGAACCAAUCUCAAGCUGUUUCAUCCUGUAUCAUUUCAUUUUUGAAGUGUCAAAAUUAUCAAAUAUGGAGAAAGAUGAGUGGAUACCAAAGGCCAUUGAUGAAGAGAAGAGAGAGGUGUUAUUCAAAAGGGCAACGUGAGAAAUCCUUGUGGUGAUGGAAUGUUAUUUGAUUGCUUUAGUGCCCAUCCCCUGGUUAUGAUAUCAUACUCUAAUUUUGUCAAUGUUAUUAGUGGAGGAAACUGAGUAAAAAAACUGUUAUCAGGAAACUGAUAUAUGGAAUCUCUCUGUUUCUCUUCCAUUGCAUGUAAAUCUACUAUUUUCCUAAAAUAGAAGAUUAAUCUAAAAAAUUAGGGGCAAAACAAUUACAUUUUUAGAGAUGAAAGCUGAGAGAGGAUUUCUCUCCGUCUGAACUUCUCUGCAAGAAAUACCAAAAUAAUUUAUCCAGGCAAAAGAAAAA